UAAAUAUAGUAAGUCUUCUCUUAUUUUCAUACAAAAGUAUACUAUAAAUUCAAAUUGCAUUCAAUUUUCAAAUAUAAAUAAAAUUGCAUUUUUUGUCAGUUUUACAAGCAUCACACCCGUCUCAAAGUACAAAGGUUGAAGUACAAGAUUAAGUAUUCUACAAGUAACUGGAGUAAAAGUAUUGCCAUGAGAAAAUUGUCAAACUUAAAGAUUAACCAUGAAAAUCUAAAGCAUCAAGUGCAAGCAAAUGGGUGGCAAGCAUGGCUUUGAUUUCACACGUAGGCGCUAUGUUUACAUAUGUACAUGUUGUCCAUAUUUUGCUUUGCUUCAUAUAUUAGGAGUUCAUCCCUAGCUAGCCUAUAACUUUGAUUGAAAA